CUUUACUAUAGUUUGAUAUUGGUGUUCGGUUCGGCUUGUGUAGGAUAGGUGGGAGACUUUGAAGCGGCCACGCCAGUGGUUGUGGAGUCGUCGUUGAAAUACCACUCUGGUCGUGCUGGAUGUCUAACCUGGGUCCGUGAUCCGGAUCAGGGACAGUGUCUGAUGGGUAGUUUAACUGGGGCGGUUGCCUCCUAAAGAGUAACGGAGGCGCCCAAAGGUUCCCUCAGCCUGGUUGGCAAUCAGGUGUUGAGUGUAAGUGCACAAGGGAGCUUGACUGUGAGACCGACGGGUCGAGCAGGGACGAAAGUCGGGACUAGUGAUCCGGCAGUGGCUUGUGGAAGCGCUGUCGCUCAACGGAUAAAAGGUACCCCGGGGAUAACAGGCUGAUCUUCCCCAAGAGUCCAUAUCGACGGGAUGGUUUGGCACCUCGAUGUCGGCUCGUCGCAUCCUGGGGCUGGAGUCGGUCCCAAGGGUUGGGCUGUUCGCCCAUUAAAGCGGUACGCGAGCUGGGUUUAGAACGUCGUGAGACAGUUCGGUCCCUAUCCGCUGUGCGCGUAGGAAUAUUGAGAAGGGCUGUCCCUAGUACGAGAGGACCGGGACGGACGAACCUCUGGUGUGCCAGUUGUCCUGCCAAGGGCAUGGCUGGUUGGCUACGUUCGGAAAGGAUAACCGCUGAAAGCAUCUAAGCGGGAAGCCUGCUUCGAGAUGAGUAUUCCCACCAACUUGAUUGGUUAAGGCUCCCAGUAGACGACUGGGUUGAUAGGCCAGAUGUGGAAGCCCGGUAACGGGUGGAGCUGACUGGUACUAAUAGGCCGAGGGCUUGUCCUCAGUUG
rnacentral:rRNA from 1 species